CAACGCGUGGAGCAUUUGCUUGGUGGCUUUGGUGGGGCAUGCUGCACCGUAAACGCGAUUGCUUUUCUUCGAUUGUGCGUGGUUCGUCGUACACGGAAGCGCAACGAUGCCUGGCUGUUGUUGCGCACCAAACUGCAAGUCCAAUUAUGACGGAGGACCAAGUGUCCGAGUGCACAAGUUCCCAUCUGACCGAGCCACUCGGGAAGCAUGGACGAGAGCAGUUCCUCGGAAGGACUUCUCGCCAACGCAGUACACAGUGUUAAGUAUUUCUUCUCUCUAUUGUUAUUCUGGGUUUUGUUGGAAUCGCACCGCUGGCACGAGUUGUUGGUAUCUCAGCGCUGACGCCCGUUGUUGCAAAUGGGUCGCAAGCCCCAAGGGUAGCGUUGGCCUGGCGGCCUGGGGCACAACUGGAAGCAUCCGAAGGUCCCGGCAAAGCAUGAGUCGACUGGUAACAGAACAACUUGUUUAUUCUAGCAUCGCAAAAGAGCGGCCGGUCAGGUCGACCGAAGUGGAGAGACGGGAGUGCACGUUACUCAACCGAAGAAAUCGGAGCCUCUCUCGGCGUCCGGGAGCAGCUGCUCUUAUAUACUCUCGGAGUUGAGGGCAAGAGGGAACGCCUCGAUAGGGGCGCACGUGACUGGGCACGGACAGGCUGAGAGACACGUUGAGACGAGUGUAGUGACGCAUCCGCCGAUCCGGCGCCGGUCAGACCUCCUCGCUUCACACUUGGGGAGCUCCUCUCCCCGGCUGCCGCGCUUUGACAAGCGUGGGCACACACACACACACGCACACAUGAAGACACGUGGCACUGAAACACGCCUGGACGCGCUUGGCGGGGAGGCUUUUGCGGCAGCUCCGAACGGGCCAAAAUGUCCGCCGCUUUGAACGAAGCCCCGGCGUCCGUUGCAUCCGCGCCGGCUAUACCGCGCGUCGUAGGCGAAACGUAACAGACCGCCCCACCGGGGGAAGGAGAUCCCGAUGGUCAGGGGACUGCAUCCGCUGUCCGGAGGGAUGUUGCUUGAUGAUGCUCAUAACGGAAGUCGGUCGUCCUUCGGCGUUUCUUGAGCGCAGCGCACAGAGAAGGCCUCGUUCUCUCGUUCAGGUUAACACAGGACACUGCAAAGUGACUUCGGGAGAGUUGACAUUUUUGUUCUCGUUCCCGGCAAGCGUUAGAACUACGCCGAAACUCAACCGCUCAGUCAGCAAGCACGGCACAACCCUCACUAAGCCCUGCCAGGCUCUUUCCCCUUUUAUACUACUGCCUAGUUCCUUACAGUAGUUAAGCAGCACUCAGAACGCGUCCACAAAUCAGAAAAUUGCACUAGAAAGCACAUCAUCACUUUGAAACACUACACAAAAGCAAUAUGUUAAAAAAUCCUGCCUCAGGAAGAAAAACAUCAGUAACAAACAAUUUUGAGGCUGAUUCCUACGUUAGGGGCUUCGACUUAAGCCAUCGGCGUUACCGUUGAGACUCCCCUUUUUGUAACGCACCUCAAAGGAAUGUUGUUGCAAAGCGAGGCUCCAGCGCAGGAGGCGGCCAUUUGUGGAAGAGAUGGUCCGCAGUCAUUGGAGAGGGCAGUGAUCCGUCUCGAAGCAUGCGAAGCGGAGAUCGCAGCGAGCGACUGUACACUACACACUAAACAAUUUCUCACCCUUAAGGGUGUAAAAAAGGGUGUUCAACAGAUUUACACCCUACUGCACACCCUUCCAGCACCCUGUUUGGGCGGGAGCACCCUACGAGCAGGCCGCAAAGGGUGCAUUUACCGGAAGGGUGUAAACGAGGGUGCCAGAAGGGUGCUAUAACUAAUGGGUGCUGAAGUGCUGAUAAGGGUGUACAGUAGGGAACAAAAUUUUGUGGCCCAUGUGAUCAGCAAACGAAGCGGAUAGCUUUUAGAGGUCGCCCGGUUAGCCACCGCGGCCUCACCAGGAGCCUUGCCAACGUAGCGAUCGGCUGAGUGGCGGUAGCGUCUGGCCGAGGUGCAGGUCCAGAAGGCAUGGUGCGCAAGCUCAUUAUACUGUCGGCUGUGUACGGCACUUAGGGAGCUGAAAGAGCAGCAUUUUGGACUUUCACCACUUGUGCGGCCUCCAGCCAGCGCUUAAUAAAGCUAUCAGCUUCGUUCGCGGAACACGUGGCCCACAAACUUUUGUCUUCGACUGUACAUGUAGUGAAGUAUAUUUGUUAAUGUACACAGGAUACAAAGAAAGAUUUAAACUAACAGGGCCACGGGAACACAAUAAGGCUUUUGUGCAGGACAAAUAUUUAUUUUUCUUGCAAAAUACGAGUUUAUGUCAUUUCUUACCUUCAAGAAUGCAUUGUAAUUAUAUAUGCACAUAUACGUAACGGUUUCAACGCAAAAAGCAGCACAAGUUCACUGUUUCACAUCGUUUACAUUUGUUAUGUUCCUUCGAAGUCGGUACUGCUCGCAUCCUCUUAGCCUUGCAAGCUUGCCUGCGCAGUUUGGGCCUUAGAACAGCGACGACACAGACCGAGCACAACGCCCCAACCCAUGCGCGCCAUUCCAGAACAUGAACACAAUAAAAAGAAAAAAAAGGAGAACCAACAGAACACAGAGUUUCCGACAGAGCAGUAACAACUAAUGGCAGGUCUUCUGCUUUUAGAGUUAGACUAUUACCAAUAAUUUAUUAUUACGCGUUUUCGAAUAAUAAUUUUACUUAGUGAUUAUGAGUUUCUUUUCGCUUUUGAUUGCUUCACUGCAGCGAUUGUUAUCUUUUCACGCACUGCAGUAGGUGCUGAACAUGGUCAGGUUUAAUACCAUUGCUGGCAACAAGGGUGAAGCUUCAGGCUCUCAUUCUCUGAGUAAAAACGCAAAGGCCAAACGCAAACCGUACCAUAAAAUGUCAGUAAUUUUUUCAAUAUCUAAAUUGUUGCGCCAUCUAUGGGCAGCUUUAUGUACUGCAUUUUAUAAGGCAAUAGGCAAAAAUUAGCGUGGCUGUGCGCUGUUCUUGCUACCAGUCGGCGCAAAAUAUCUGUUUCUAAAUAGUUUGAAGUUUAUUUAGACUAUGGCAUUUCUGCGGCAUGCUGUAAUGACAAAUUUCGCAACUGUCUCUUGUUCUGACAUGGUUACCAGGGCCCGCACACUCUCAAGUUCAACAAAUGGCCACAGAGGGCGAAAAAAUCGACCGCGCGGCGCUGCUAAAGAAACAGGCAUAGUACACCCAUUAAAAAGGUUCCCCGUUGAGCACAUUAUCUCCCGCUAGAGGCGCCGUAGUAAGCGCAAUUUUAACCUACAAGCGUUUUUAUUGCAUGAUAAAGACUACAAAAUUGUAAUUCCUAAUUUUAAAUUGUACUUUUCAUUACCAACUUUGUUGUUUUUUGUCAUUUUAAACGCAAAAUAGCGUUCAGCAUCAUCGACUUCCCACGUGACCUCUGGCCUGAAUUUAAAAUUUUUACCGGUAUGUUCGCGUGGGCGGCAGGUACGGUUGGUUAUGUUGUGCUAACACCAGUUUACUGCGCUUCGAUGUCUCGCGUUAUUUAAUUUGGGGUGUAAGCCUGAAAGCUAGGUUUCAGUCGUGAGCCAUGUGGAACACGUCUGCAUCGAAAUGGGAGCCGGGUCCUGCUGCAACUGGGGACAGCAAUACCUGUGAGUCGUUUAACACACUGCUUCAAUCGCUAUGUGAUUUAUUCGUCUCGUUAACUUACAGGCGGAGGUAAGUUAACGAACUAGAUGCUGCAUUACAUAAGGGCAGUCAGGACCCUCCGUUGCCGUUUCCGAAAUAAACUUUCAGUUGCGAGGCCAUCAUUAUAUACACAUUCACGAAAGAGAAACGAUAUCGGAACGCGCGUCACAUUUUUCAUCUCGUUGUAGCCGUAGCCAUAAGUGACUGAGUUGCCUUAUCAAUAUAUUUUUUUUUUUUUCGAGUCCGCCGGCAACUUCUUUCGUUCACAGAACCGAAUAACCUUUUGAUAAACUGAAGCUAAAGUACUGAAUUUAAUGUAUUAAACAGUUGCACACAUGAUAAUUCACCCAUAUUCCAUACCUGUUGGUUCCAAAUGUUCUUGCAGUUCAGUUUGGCUUACCUCAGGACAUCUAUUUUUGCAGUAGUGAAGCGGUGCAUCACGUUCAUGCACAAAAAGAAUGCAUCAUUUCUAAUAGCUUCAUGUCUUUCAUCUCUUUGCUUGUGAAAUCAGCAGUGUGAUCUCCUCUAGUGUAUAAACGAGCGCACAAAUGUACUUAUUUGUGAUCUUAAUAAUACUUACGCUGUUGACAUGCAUUGUAGUUACGCAGACAUCAAUUUUACGGAGAGUAACCAUAUUUAUUUACCAUGCUGCUUAAGCACCCUAGAACAAACAGUGUACAUUUGCAUGUGUUCUGUAGUCACAAACCAUUGCAAUGUAUAUGUCGCACCUUUACGCAUUUUAUAUUGCGAAAUUGUGCUUAUUCAAUUUCUGAUGCAGUCAAAAUUUCUGUUCCAGACAUGCAGUAAUGAGGAUGGCACCAGUAUAAAGCAACACACUCCAUGCACUAAACAGAAGCUGCUACCUGCUACAACAAGGUCAUUGUGUGGACUUUGGCUGCUACUACAAGAGUCUGUUCCAAGUACAUCUUGGUCAUCACGGGAGCCCCCAUCUACACCAACAGGAAGGGGCUGGAGCUGAAUUCGCAAGACCACAAACAAAGAAGCCAUUCCAGAAUUAUUUGGAUGAGAUAUCAAGUCUACGGACGACUGUUUCAAGAGUGAAAAGAGUCUACGCCAUCAUUCCACCAGCACGGAUAUUGGCCGAGUCAUCCAGGUACCUCAACAACAAAAAUUAUUUGUCUUCAGAUGUACCUGCAACCUCUGAAUAAGCACAGAUGACGCUGGCUAAGAGUGUUCUGUCAGCUUGCCCUUCCUUAGUGAGCUUCCUGGCCUUGCCAGUUCUUCCCAAGUAUAAUUUUGUUUCAAUGAAUGCAAGCUUUUUCAUUCCACACUUUUGUUAGAGAUCAUUCCUAUUCCUCAUACAAACAAUAAAGGUCAACCGAUUCUUUGCUCAUACUUAAUGCCAGUCACUGUCUAGUAGCAUAACAUAUGUGUAGCAGUUCUUUCUAGUGCAUGUUGCCAUGUGCAAUUCCUCUCCUGAAAUAGCUGAUGCAGCAUUGGCGUGUGUCUUGCAUUAACCUUUGCACUGUGUGCUAUGUAGCAUUUAACUUUUGUUAAUGUUUUUGGCUUUCAAUGCUUGCAAGGUAGAGUGGCUUCUUUCUUGAAUGCAAGCUUUCUCAUUCCCAUAUUGAAUUCCUAGUCUCAUUCAGGAUUGCUAUUCUUGCUCGACAGCCUGUGUUUUUGUGAAAGCUACAUUGAAGUGAUUGAUUGCAGAAUCUGGUUUCGGCGCUGUCCAACUUGGUACUUGUCACCGUGUUACAUUUCUCAUAUGUGGGAGCCUGGUCAGUUGCAUUGGGAAACAGUCUCUCCGAGGCAAGCACCUGCUCCUACAGUCCGCACAGUGACAUAGACUGCGAAUUUACACGCACACCGUGGUUGGUGCUCCCCGUUCCGUUCUUUCCUGCUGCUGCCGUGUGCAAAUUUUGCUUGUGGUCUUCCUCGGCCAUGAUUUGGCGUCAACGGAGACUCUCAUACAUAAUUACAUGGUUCUAAGUGUAUGAAGUUGAUAUCCACAUGUGUGGAAAGGCCUGCAAAAGUGACUGCAACAUAGUGAUGUUCACAAAACCGACCAUGCCCAUAUAUAGAGAAUGUGGGGGACCAAGUGUGAGUUACACAUUAGUGGCAUGCAAAAGAACAAAAAGAAACAUGCAGGUUGGAAAGGUGGUAACACUAAAAUGCCGGGCACUCCAUGUCGCUGUUGGCUGUGGCAGCAGAUGCUUGCGACACCCGAUUGCUUCGCAAUGCAAGCUGCUGAUAUUCAACGCCGACUGUCGGUGCAAACAUGUGGGACACACUGUCCAAUCUGCUUGCGCUGCUGGUUGUUGCUUGUUACCAGACUGCAGUGUGCGACGAAGGCAAGCACUAUGCCUACAGUCGGACGGUUGAAUGUGCCGCAAGCAACCCGUGUGCAUGUAUGCUCACUGUUGUCAUGUAGAUCGUAGCCAAUGCAUAGUGCCAAUGUAUAGAUUGAGCAUUAUGUUAGAGUAGGCUGAAGUGAUUUGAUUGCAUAAUCUUGUUUCAAUGUUGUCCCACUUGGUCAUGGCUGCCGUGUUACAUUUCUGGGAUGUGGCAGCCUGUUCAGUUGUAUUGGCCAAUGGCCUCUCAAGGUAAGCACCUGCUCCUGCAGUCCACACAGUGACACAAACUCCCUGUUUACAUGUAGUGUGAUUGGUGCUCCCUGUUAGUCCUUUCCUGCUGCAGCCGAGGGUAAAGCAUGCUUGUGGCCUUCUUUGGCCAUGAUUUGGCGUGAACAGAGACUAUCAUACAUGAUUACAUGGUUUGAAGUGUAUGAAGUUGAUAUCCACAUGGGUGGAAAGGCCUGUAAAAGUGGCUGCGAAAUGGCGAUUUCCACAAAACAGACCACAUCCAUAUUGAGAGCAGGUGGGGCACCAAGUGUGAACAACACAUUAGUGGCCACCGAAAGAACAAAAAGAAACGUGCAUGUAGGAAAGGAGGUAACACUAGGAUGCCGGGUAGUUCAUGUCGCUGUGUUGGCUAUGGCAGCAGGUGCCUGCGUCACCCGAUUGAUUCGCAGUACAAGUUACGGUGACUGUCAGUGUAAACAGGUGGGGCACUGUCCAAUCUGCUUGUGCUGCUGGUUGUCACUCGUUACUAGACCACCAUGUGCGACGUAGGCAAGCACUGUGCCUGAAGUCGGAUAGCUGAAUAAGCUGUAUGCAAGUUGUAGUGCGUGAAUGCCCACUGUUGUCAUAUGGAUCUUAGCCAAUCUACAGUGUAUUGUCUGAACCUUAUGCGGUGAUUGAAUGCAGUCUAAUUUGAUAAUGGUCGCCGUGUUCUGUUUCUUCGAUGUGGCGACCUGGUUAGCUGCAUGGGCAACAGUCUCCCGAGGUAACCAUCUGCUCCUGCAGUCCACACAGCGACAAAGACUCCCAAUUUACAUGCACCGUAAUUGGUGCUCUCCCCAUUAGACAUUUCUUGCUGCAGCCGCCGGCAAAUUAUGCUUGUGGGCCUUCAUCGGCCGUGAUGUGGCGUGAGCGGAGAGAGCACACGUUAUUACAUGGUCCGAAGUUGAUAGCCACAUAGGUGGAAAGGCCUGCAGAACUGGCUGCAAAAUGGUGAUGCCCACAUUGAGAAUGUGGGGCACCAACUAUGAGUUACACAUUAGCGGCCCCCGAAAGAACAAAAAGAAACGUGCAGGUUGGAAAGGCGGGAACGCUAAAAUGCCGUUUAGUCAAUGUCGCUGUGUUGGUUGCGGCAGCAGAUGCCUUGCGUCACCAGAUUGCUUCGCAAUGUAAGUUACGGCGACUGUUAAAGCAAACAGGUGGUGCACUGCCCGAUUUGCUUGCGCUACUGAUUGUCGCUCGUUACCAGAUCGCCAUGUGCGGCGACGAAAGUGAGCAGUUUACGAGCUCGCGUUAAUGGUUUCAGCGCAUCUCGACAUGCAAAUUUUAUUUCUGAUCUUGUAUGAGAAGGUGCACUGCUUUUCUUCUGCCAAUAAAGUCGCACGUCCUGUUCACUCA